rnacentral:rRNA from 1 species
UAGGGAAUCUUCCGCAAUGGGCGAAAGCCUGACGGAGCAACGCCGCGUGAGUGAUGAAGGUCUUCGGAUCGUAAAACUCUGUUAUUAGGGAAGAACAAAUGUGUAAGUAACUAUGCACGUCUUGACGGUACCUAAUCAGAAAGCCACGGCUAACUACGUGCCAGCAGCCGCGGUAAUACGUAGGUGGCAAGCGUUAUCCGGAAUUAUUGGGCGUAAAGCGCGCGUAGGCGGUUUUUUAAGUCUGAUGUGAAAGCCCACGGCUCAACCGUGGAGGGUCAUUGGAAACUGGAAAACUUGAGUGCAGAAGAGGUAAGUGGAAUUCCAUGUGUAGCGGUGAAAUGCGCAGAGAUAUGGAGGAACACCAGUGGCGAAGGCGACUUUCUGGUCUGUAACUGACGCUGAUGUGCGAAAGCGUGGGGAUCAAACAGG